AUCUGGCUGGCUCAGUUGGUAGAGCAUGUGACUCUUGAUCUCAAGGUCGUGAGUUUGAGCCCCAUGUUGGGCA
rnacentral:tRNA from 1 species